CUCUCCCCUCCUCCUCCUCCUCCCUCAAACAUGGCGCUGCUCCUCAGAUUUGUUUCCUCCUCGUCAGUCGAGGGAGGAGAAGCAGACGCGGGUAGAAAAAUCUGCCUCAAGCGUUUUUAACUUUUCUCUCAUUUGUAAACUAACUAACUUCGCGCCGCGUGACCAGCGGACACUUUUACGCACGACGGUUAAAGGAGAAGUCCACGCGUCAGAGAGCUGCCCACCUGUGUGUGUGUGUGUGUGUGUGUGUGUGUGAGGAUGUGACUGCGGUGAUUGACGCGGAGCAGCGGAGCAGACAGGCGGGUCACUGAGCUCACAGCUGCUGCUGGAAGAACCAUGCGCAGCGGCGUGAGGACCAGCGACACCGCGGCCACACGGGACUGAAGUUUCCACAGCAAGCGACGACUUUUCCACGCACGAGGAAGAGGAAGAGGAUGAUGAUGGAGGGAGAACACUCAGAGAGGGAGAAAGAGAGGCUGCCGCCGAUCUACAGCAGCACCGCGCCAGCUGGUUUUGGGGGCGGAGCCAAGCAGCCUCUUCCGUCUCUCAGCAACUUCAUCUCCACGUUCAGCCAGAGGAGGGACGUGGGGGGGCGGGGCUUUGACAGUGGCGGCGUGAUGGGCACGAGCCUGGGACUCAGACACGGGAGAGAACUUCCUCCCAUCUGCAGCGACGUUCGUCAGAAGCAGCGUCUCUGUGUCCAAACGCUGCCCCCGGAGGCCAAAGCUCCGUUCCCCUGCGAGCCCGUCGUCCCUCUGCGAACCAAGACCACCAAAGACUUUCAAGAGGACAUGGACCGAGCCGUCCAAUCAGGCGACUGGAGGGAGGUCCGAGACUUUUACCUGACCACGUUUAACUCCUUCAUGGAACUCAACGCCGCCUUUAAGCGAGAGGCAAACGGAUUGUUCAACACCAUCGAAGAUUCAGGAAUCAACGUCAAGUUUGUCAACACUGUUUAUGACACACUGAUCAACACACCUCAGGACAUCCAGAAGUCAGUGUUGAAAGGAAUCAUCAACAGUUUGCUGAGGGAGUGGAAAGGGCCUCGGACCAAAGACGACCUCCGAGCUUAUUUCAUUCUGGUUCAGAACCCUCAGUAUUCGAGCAGCAGCACCUUCGUGAUCUACGCUCACCUCCUGAGACAGAUCGCAGCUUUGUCUGAGGCUGACCACCAUUUCCUGGUUCACUGGCUCAAAAAGUUGUCUGCACGGAGGUUCAAACAGUUAGUAGAGCGCCUCCUGCAGUUCAUCUCCACUCGCCUGUUUCCUGCAGAUCCUGACGAACUUCCUCCUCUGACCAAGUGUUCAUGGUGGAUCCCAUCUGCUACUAAAGUGCUCAGUCUGUUCAAUGCAGCGAACAGUGUCUCCUCUCCUCCCAUCAUGCCUUUCACCGACUUCUACAACAUCACUCUGGACCACAUGGACUUCAUGGAGGAGUACAGGACCUGGCAGAACUACGGCAACUCGAACAGAUUUUCCUUCUGUCAGUUUCCUUUCAUCCUGUCCACGGUGGUGAAGAAAGCUAUUAUUCAGAAAGACUCAGAGCAACAGAUGAUCAGCCAGGCCAGACAAAGCCUGGUCAGUAAAGUUUCUCGCCGGCAGAGAGUCGACAUGAACCUUCUGUUCCUCAACAUUAAAGUUCGACGAGCACAACUUCUCACUGACUCACUGGAUGAGUUGACGAGGAAACGGUGUGACCUGAAGAAGAAGCUGAAGGUGACGUUUGUCGGGGAGGCGGGGCUUGACAUGGGCGGCCUGACGAAGGAGUGGUUCCUGCUGCUGGUGCGACAGAUCUUCCACACAGACUAUGGUAUGUUCACCUACAUGAAGGACUCACGCUGUCAUUGGUUCAGCAGCUGGAAAUGUGACAACUACUCUGAGUUCCAGUUGGUCGGGACUCUGAUGGGUUUAGCCGUUUACAACAGCAUCGCUCUGGACAUCCACUUCCCCCUCUACUGUUACAGGAAGCUCCUGACUCCGCCCACUGUGCCAUGUGACCAAAAUGCCCUUGUGGGCAUGGCGACCGCAACCCUGGACGACCUGCAGCAGAUCAUGCCAGAGCUGGCUCAUGGGUUGGCAGAGCUGUUGAGCUAUGAGGAAAACGUGGAGGAGGAUUUCUACCUCACUUUCCAGGUGUUACAGGAGGAAAUGGGCAUGGUCAAAUGUUACAACCUGAAGUCUGGAGGAGACAGAAUUCCUGUCACCAAACACAACAGGAAAGAGUACGUCCAGCUCUACAUCGACUUCCUGUUGAAUAAAUCCAUCUAUAAACAGUUUGCUGCCUUUUACCACGGCUUCCACAGUGUGUGUGCGUCUGACGCUCUCAUGCUGCUGAGGCCAGAGGAGGUGGAGAUGUUGGUGUGUGGCAGCCCAGAGUUGGACAUGUGUGCGCUGCAGAGAGCUGCUCAGUACGAAGGCUACAACAAGACUGACGUCACUGUACGCUGUUUCUGGGAUGUCGUCCUCUCGUUCCCUCUGGAGAUGCAGAAGAAGUUCCUUCACUUUGCGACAGGAAGUGACCGCGUCCCUGUGGGAGGAAUGUCUGACCUCAACUUCAAAAUCUCUAAGAUCGACGUUCCGACCGACUGGUAUGUCGUAAAACACGGACUGUAGUCAUGUGAUUGACAGGUGAAACAAUCUUCUACCGCUUUCACCUCCAGCGGAGGGCGUGUGCCAAUGUCAGCUGACGUAAGCCUAGGUUGCCGGUCUCUCACACCUGUUUUAAUCAGAUCUGUUUGCCUCCGUAUCGAAGCAGAAAAGAACUCAAACACAAACUCACCAUCGCCGUCAACAACGCUGAGGGCUUCGGCCUGGAGUGACACACACACACACACACACUCACGCACACACACACGCACAUUAGUGUAGUGAGCACAUGAUCAGUCAUCUUUGAACCACAAAAUGAAUAAAACAUGUGGCCAGAGGUUUUAAACCUGUUGUUGUUGUUGUUUUGGACGUUGCUGUGUGUUUGUUUUGCUGCAGCAGAAAUGUUGUAAUGUAGUGUUUACAAACACAACUAUGUUUGUUUGUUUAUCUUUGAGCAGUAAAGUGAUGAGUCAUCA